GGUUGAGGGUGCCUAACACCUUCCCUCGACCUGAUUAUAAUAAUCUUACCCGUUCUCUUAAUUGCAUAAGGUUUCCUAUUCGCCUUGGUAGAAUAGGUGGCAACUCUAAAAGUCUAAUUUUUAGGGCAGGUUGCUACACAUACACGAAGAACUUUUCAUUUCAGACAGGGUGGAAAACCGUAUUUUGGAUCCGCUACAAUAGCCAUCCAUUUCUCCCUUUUUGUGUGAUGCAAAUAGAUUCACUUCUUCAGAUUGAGAAUCAUUUCUCAAACUGCAUCAUAAGAGGUUGUGCAAGAGGAGGUUGUGCAGGUUGUGCUACAGGAGAUUGUGCAGAUGGUUGUUCGUCAGCCAUGUGGUUGAAUGCUUAGGGUUUCGGGUUUCGAGAGUAUAUUUUGGGAAGAGGUUAAGAUUAGGGUUACGGGUUUGAGUAAGAUCGUGGAUGUGACCCGACAAAGGAAUUUCAUAUCUUCAGUCAAACUCAUCAGGAGGAACCUGCAAUGGAAUUCAUAUGGAGGAACCUGCAAGGGCAAAAGUGAAAAGUAAAAUACUUUUAAGAGAGGAGUUUACCGAUUUCUUAAGCAGUUCCAAAUAAACUUUACUAGAAGGUUUAUGUUAAUAUCUCUAGUGAACUGAUUCCCAAGGCACUAAUUCUGACGGUAUAAUGUCUAAGUUACAUUUGAACUCAAGAUCUUUAAGUUGAAAGGCACUUGAAUUCUUGACCUAGCUUUUUUGGGUCUUAUAUAUCUAUCAAAUAAGAAAACAAAUGUACUUAAAAAUACCAAUUUUGCCCUUUGUUUAAAAUUCUCCACAUAUUGUAACUAAUUGUCUGCCUGGUCCAAGUAUUACUACUACUUUGUUACUUUGUUGAUGUUGUUGUUUUUCGCUAGCAAUUUGGCCUUCAUAUGACGCUUAGGACUUCAAGUGAAACCAAACCACCACUUUAUAACCUUCCCAAUGCAAAUAUUUUUGAACUGGUUUCAGAAAAAGCAAACUCACUUCUGCCUCCAUCCACUUCUUCUCCCAAUAACUUCAACAAUUUCUCUCUAUCUCUCUCUAUCUCUCUCUCUCUCUAACUUCUUUCGUCUUCCUCUUCAUAUUCUUCCUUCUCCCUCAUCUUCUUCGUCUUCCUCAAUGUUGUUUUGUUCUUUUGGUAUCUCACUGAAGGAAGAGACACAAAUGAUCCCUCACCACUACAACACGCCAUAGUCGAUGCAUCUCACAACUCUGAAAGGAAUACGACAGUCGUCUUUGUCGUUGAUAUUUUGUUUUCGGUCACAUCAUCACCAUCCUCUUGGUUGUUCGCUCACCACCCUUUAUUACCGUCAAUCACUGAAGCUCGUGUUUCAGAUCAGGCAAGAUCCAUCGUGAACUACUCUUUUUUCUGCGAAACUGUUGCGGUUGUAACCCAUCAUCCAAAAACAUCACAAACGUAAGUUAUGGUCAUGUGAAACCAGACAUUGUUGCAUAUGGACAGGACAUAAUGGGAUCAAAGAUUAGUUCGGGCUGUAAAAGUUUAUCAGGAACCAGUGUUGCAAGUCCGGUAGUUGCUGGUGUUGUAUGUUUGCUUGUCAGUGUAUGUUUUUUAUAUUAUCAAUCUUGGACACUCACUCUCCAUAGAGCCCUUCGUAAAGUAAGUAUAUAAUUCGUGUUGAAGCUGCGCAAUUGUAUGCAUCCCUGCAGCCAAGGAGAUGCUAAACUACUUAAAUGUUAAGUCUAAACCUGGUUUCACUGCUCAAAAAAUUAUAUUGACCGAUGUAAGAGAAGAAACAAUUGUUUAUAUCAAUUUGUUUUUAAGAAUGUUGUUUAUACAUUGGUUUUGUAGUGCUACAGCAGUGGCGUUUUGCGUCUAUAGACAGGUUUUGGAAGUCCCAGUUUGAAGUCUUUUGAAUGUGGAAUAUGUUGGUCACUAGAGUCCAAUCUGUUGGUCUAUUUUGGAUGUGAAUUGCCAAUGUUUUAAGACUUAAAUUCUGAAGUCAUUUUGCCAAUAAAACAUAAAUAAAGUACUUGGUGACAAUUAUUAUUAAUUGUAUAAGGUUUGUCUAAUGAUGACGAUGUAAAAAACGUGGUGGAAUAAGAAAUAUCACUGUGAAUGGAGUUAUCUAAUAACUGUGGGAAAAAUUGUUGCUGCUACUACUAAUUGUGAACUGCAAGAUCUUUUUAACAUUAUUAUACCAAAUCAAUUGGUCUUGCUAAAUUCUAUUCUUACAUUCAUUGAGAAUAAAUGAUUUUGUUAUCAAAUCCUGAUUAUGUUUUGAAGGUAUGGAUUAUCUUUUAUUCUGUGCUAUGGUUCUGUACAAAUUGAUAAAUCGCUCGCCUUCUCCUUUGGGUGGAGGGAUUUGUUAAAGUGUGAUAAUUCGGAGCAGGACUGGUUUAAAACAAUGUUUACUGCAGGGUUCACAGCUUUGAACCAUAUUUCUACAUGAGCUGCCCUCCUAGAAUGGGACCAGAUAAUAUCUCCCAUUUUCAUCAAAUUCUCAAGACUAGGAUGAGAGAAGCGGAAGCCAAUAGAAAUAACAAUGUAGAAAAAAAAUUCGUCGAGUUGACUGGAGUUAUAUAAUAGCAAGUUUACUCGUCGAGUUGUUAUGGUGUUGUGAGGGUUAUGGACAAGGAUUUUAUCAGAGAUUGUCACCAGAUUGAAAAGUUCUACAAGCUUAAAUUGCAACUUCCGACAACAGUCUGGACGUGAAGUCAACAGAGCAGUGCAUCUUUUCAGCAGUUAUGUUUGCGGCAGCGUUGCUUUUAAAUGACUUAGUAUCGUGCUUCAACCAAUAGAAUCAUCAUCGUGUAGCUGCAUUGGCUGAACUCGGUGUUGGUUUCAUGUUUUCCUAUUUCAGACCUAAACUCGGUGUCUUUUUUGCAUCGAUUCGGUAUCUUUCAGGUAAACACCAACUCAUGUAAUCAGUUCUGUUUUAUAUCAGAGCUGCUAAACUGAGUUUUUAUAUGUCAGUCAUGUUGUUUUGUAUUGCUUAGGCUAUUAAUAAUUGCAAAUAAGGUGCUUACUUUGCUAUCAGGUUAGCUUCUUGUAUUUCAAUGUGUAUACAGAAUUACAGGCGAAAUCCAACGAAACUCGGGCAUAUAUCGACGCGGUUUGUGGGAAUUCAUCUCAUGACAGCCAAGAAGCUACAACCUAAGUGUCUGCUACAAAGUCAAACACAUCAUUGACAUUGGCCCGAAAAGAGGUGUUAGCUGCGGGAGCAUUUCCAUGCCAACAUGACAGAAGCAUUAUAAUAUGCCGCCGCAGUCGUUAAGAGUAACAGUCUGAGUUCCACACUCGGAGCAGUUACAAAUGCAUUAUAGCAGCAAUACUUGAGCGGUUAAAGCAUUUAUCCGAGCACUACUAGAGAUUGACCGACUUGAGGCUCUCGACAAAGUCUCCGGAUUUGAAACGAUGCCAAACACCGUGUCGUCGAUACCACUAAAAGAUAAGUUAUUUUUUACUUAUUCUGUUAACUAAAUCAAUUGACCAUUGUCGUUCAAUAUGCACUGAUAAUAUGUCAAACGAUGUUGGAUUGUAUGCUAGCUUGUCAAAAGGAAUUAAAUACGUAAUUCUGACAUUUGUGUGAGAGGAGUACAAAUUAAAAACGUAUAUGACGCGGAUCAGAAGCAGGUGAGGCAAUUAUAUGGUUCAUGUUACAUAUUAUUGGACUUACUGAAGUUGGAUCCUUGAGGUAAAGAGCAACAUGCUGCAUUACAAACGGUGAAGCAGAGAACACGGUUUUAUAUUGCUCACGUAGUGUCUUUGUUUGAUUCUGCCAAGACUUCUCCUUGAACAAGUUUAUUAAUUUAAAUAUUUGGACUAUAACAUGGCUUAUGGCUAACAAACACUUCUAUGUCAUUGAUGAGUGGUUAUACUGAAUAUAUCGGAGGCAAAAACAAAGUGCUCAAAUCCAUGAAAAAUCACUUGGAUAGCGACGUGGUCCGAGGAAGAACUCGUAAAAGCAGCACAAGUUCCAUGCGGUGUUAUAUUGAGUAAACAAACAUAAGAUAUCCUAACUUAUUGACAUAUUUUGUAUUGUCUGCAUUACUUAAUAUAUCUAACCAUUUUUUCGAUAAGAAAGUUUCCAUCUCCCGGAGAAUAUUUUGUCGAGGAGUCAAUCUUG